rnacentral:rRNA from 1 species
AGAGUUUGAUCCUGGCUCAGAACGAACGCUGGCGGCAUGCCUAAUACAUGCAAGUCGAACGAGCCCUUCGGGGUUAGUGGCGCACGGGUGCGUAACGCGUGGGAAUCUGCCCUUGGGUUCGGAAUAACGUCUGGAAACGGACGCUAAUACCGGAUGAUGACGAAAGUCCAAAGAUUUAUCGCCCAGGGAUGAGCCCGCGUAGGAUUAGCUAGUUGGUGAGGUAAAGGCUCACCAAGGCGACGAUCCUUAGCUG